AUUGAACGCUGGCGGCAUGCUUUACACAUGCAAGUCGAACGGUAACAGGCCGCAAGGUGCUGACGAGUGGCGAACGGGUGAGUAAUGCAUCGGAACGUGCCCAGUCGUGGGGGAUAACGCAGCGAAAGCUGUGCUAAUACCGCAUACGAUCUAUGGAUGAAAGCGGGGGACCGUAAGGCCUCGCGCGAUUGGAGCGGCCGAUGUCAGAUUAGGUAGUUGGUGGGGUAAAGGCCUACCAAGCCGACGAUCUGUAGCUGGUCUGAGAGGACGACCAGCCACACUGGGACUGAGAAACGGCCCAGACUCCUACGGGAGGCAGCAGUGGGGAAUUUUGGACAAUGGGCGCAAGCCUGAUCCAGCAAUGCCGCGUGCAGGAAGAAGGCCUUCGGGUUGUAAACUGCUUUUGUACGGAACGAAACGGCCUGGGUUAAUACCCUGGGCUAAUGACGGUACCGUAAGAAUAAGCACCGGCUAACUACGUGCCAGCCGCCGCCGUAACAC
rnacentral:rRNA from 1 species